AUGGUGCAGAUGUACAAGUUCCUCAAGAAGCACGCUACCAUCCCUUUCAACUCUGCUGCUGCCGCGGCCGGCUGUGCUUCUGCCUCGGCUACAAACUGCCUAGGUGAGCUUUAUCCCUCUGGCGCCUCUGGUGGCGUUGGAAUUGUGAUUGUGGUGUUGGGUGUGUUUGGUUUUGAGCCAAAGCUGGCCUUACCAAAAUAUUGGUGCGCCCAUGAGUUUUUUCUGUUGUUUGGUUGGACACCAAAUAUUUGGCUUGCCCAACCCAGCCGGCAUUUGCCCAUGCAAUUCUGGCCAAUACGCGGGCGAGCCGAGGGCGACGAAUUCGUCCACUAA
rnacentral:rRNA from 1 species